UACAGAGACUGCGAGCGUUAUUCGGAUUCACUGGGCGUAAAGCGCGUUCAGGCGGUUUGGCAAGUCGGGCAUGAAAUCUCUCGGCUCAACCGGGAGAGGUUGUCCGAUACUGCUGGACUUGAGGGCAGUAGAGGGUGGUGGAAUUCCGGGUGUAGUGGUGAAAUGCGUAGAUAUCCGGAGGAACACCAGUGGCGAAAGCGGCCACCUGGACUGCACCUGACGCUGACACGCGAAAGCUAGGGGAGCGAACGGG
rnacentral:rRNA from 1 species